rnacentral:rRNA from 1 species
UAUGCCUACGGGAGGCAGCAGUGGGGAAUAUUGGACAAUGGGCGAAAGCCUGAUCCAGCAAUGCCGCGUGAGUGAUGAAGGCCUUAGGGUUGUAAAGCUCUUUUACCCGGGAUGAUAAUGACAGUACCGGGAGAAUAAGCUCCGGCUAACUCCGUGCCAGCAGCCGCGGUAAUACGGAGGGAGCUAGCGUUGUUCGGAAUUACUGGGCGUAAAGCGCACGUAGGCGGCUUUGUAAGUUAGAGGUGAAAGCCUGGAGCUUAACUCCAGAAUUGCCUUUAAGACUGCAUCGCUUGAAUCAUGGAGAGGUGAGUGGAAUUCCGAGUGUAGAGGUGAAAUUCGUAGAUAUUCGGAAGAACACCAGUGGCGAAGGCGGCUCACUGGACAUGUAUUGACGCUGAGGUGCGAAAGCGUGGGUAGCAAACAGGAUUAGAUACCCCGGUAGUCG